CUUUUAGCCACUGCCAAAGCAGCUGACUGCUUCCAACCAUCCUCCUCUCUCUCUCUUCUUUGUGUUGCAGACAAGGAGCAAAGGUUAGACUUGGAGACAUAGCAGUUUUUCUUUUUGAUCGUCUCUGCUGCCAAGUUUGAUGCUUGGUUUACCUUGAUCACAAAGGUUAAGCUUUUGCUGUUUAUCCAUGAGACUAAAAAAAUAACAGAAACCCUACCAAAGUUGAGUAACAUGACCCACAGUCAGACCAGGAACAAAUACAAAUCAGCUUGGAUCCUAACACCAGUGUUUAUUUUGGCAAUGCAGAGUUCACCACGUGGGUGACUCUGUCCGGUUUCCCCACCUGCUGUUGUAUGGAGUUCUUGUCAGCAUCUUCAGAGCUCAAAGGCCUUCAUUCUGAGAAACACAGGGAGAGUCUUCCAUAUGCUGCCCCGACAUGAAGGUGUUAAGGUAACAGCCAGGUUUCCUCCAUCUUCUGUAAGUGGACAUCAUGGUCGCAGAGCCAACAUCUGAGUGAGCUGCAUCAGCCAACGUUGAGAGCCAGGAGCAUCUUUCAGUGCUCUGCUCUGUGUGAGAUUUUCAGUGACCCAGUCAUUACCCAAAUCAUGGAGCAAUUCUGGUUCCCCCAGGUCCUGUGCAGGCCAUGUGAUUUCCGGACUCAUCCUUCUUGAAUCAUGGAAGCAACAGGAACGCCUGCUUCAGGAAGUGCGGUGCCUGUCCCCUCCAGGAGGAUAUGAGCAUGUGAUGACCAGAGGGAAGGUGACAUCGUCCUCUGGCCCCACCAGACUCGACUGUGGACCCGUCUCCGCUGUGAGCCUCAGACACUGGGCAUUGGCAUGCACUGCUAGAAAUGGGAAGCAGCCUGGGCAAAAUGCUAAUGCACAGGAAGCCUAGAAGUUCCAAGCCAGCACUUCCUCGGAGACAAUCUCUGUAAGACCUGGUAGAUGACGGUGCCAGAGGGCUUAAGUAAAAGUUAACAAAAAAUUCAAAUCAGACAUCAGAAAGCAGUUUUUCAUAAGCAGAACAAUAAGCGUUCGGCAGAUCCAGUACCGGGACUGUGUAAGAGGAAGUAUUAAGGCAAACCCAGAAGCAGUCAGGAUUGGAGGGGGGGGCAGUGCACCUGAAUAAUUUCCCCGUUCUAGGGAGAGGGGUGAGGCCGGCUGAUGAGAGCGAGUUUGGCCUGGCUGGAUUUGGCCCUUACACCGCACUCUGGUGGACUGAAGCGUGUUUGACCCUGACAGGGAGAGGGCUCAGCAGCCGCGUGGAGAGGACUUGCUCAGUG
rnacentral:lncRNA from 1 species